AAGGCGGCGUAAGNCUGUCGCUAUGGGAUGGCCCCGCGGUGCAUUAGCUAGUUGGUAAGGUAACGGCUUACCAAGGCGAUGAUGCAUAGCCGAGUUGAGAGACUGAUCGGCCACAUUGGGACUGAGACACGGCCCAAACUCCUACGGGAGGCAGCAGUAGGGAAUCUUCCACAAUGGACGCAAGUCUGAUGGAGCAACGCCGCGUGAGUGAAGAAGGUUUUCGGAUCGUNAAGCUCUGUUGUUGGUGAAGAAGGAUAGAG
rnacentral:rRNA from 1 species